GAAGUGUGGACGCCAGUCUGCAUGGAGCCGACCUUGAAAUACCACCCUUUAAUGUUUGAUGUUCUAACGUUGACCCGUAAUCCGGGUUGCGGACAGUGUCUGGUGGGUAGUUUGACUGGGGCGGUCUCCUCCUAAAGAGUAACGGAGGAGCACGAAGGUUGGCUAAUCCUGGUCGGACAUCAGGAGGUUAGUGCAAUGGCAUAAGCCAGCUUGACUGCGAGCGUGACGGCGCGAGCAGGUGCGAAAGCAGGUCAUAGUGAUCCGGUGGUUCUGAAUGGAAGGGCCAUCGCUCAACGGAUAAAAGGUACUCCGGGGAUAACAGGCUGAUACCGCCCAAGAGUUCAUAUCGACGGCGGUGUUUGGCACCUCGAUGUCGGCUCAUCACAUCCUGGGGCUGAAGUAGGUCCCAAGGGUAUGGCUGUUCGCCAUUUAAAGUGGUACGCGAGCUGGGUUUAGAACGUCGUGAGACAGUUCGGUCCCUAUCUGCCGUGGGCGCUGGAGAACUGAGGGGGGCUGCUCCUAGUACGAGAGGACCGGAGUGGACGCAUCACUGGUGUUCGGGUUGUCAUGCCAAUGGCACUGCCCGGUAGCUAAAUGCGGAAGAGAUAAGUGCUGAAAGCAUCUAAGCACGAAACUUGCCCCGAGAUGAGUUCUCCCUGAGACUUUAAGUCUCCUGAAGGAACGUUGAAGACGACGACGUUGAUAGGCCGGGUGUGUAAGCGCAGCGAUGCGUUGAGCUAACCGGUACUAAUGAACCGUGAGGCUUAACCUUACAACGCCGAAGGUGUUU
rnacentral:rRNA from 1 species